CCCGCCCCGGAAACCCAGUCAGGGGAUCCGCGCUGGGGCUCGGUGCCUUCCUCAGUCCGUCCCUCGCUCUCUGCGCGUUUGGCCGGCCCUCCCGCUCUGUCCCGAGGCCCCGCCGCGCGUCUUGCUGCACAGCAGUCUCGGCCCUGUUCUGAGGUCCGGAGCCCAGUUGUGUUCUGGAGGGAAGAAAUCCAAAAGUCAAGGUUUCAACAGGGUUGACUCCUCUUAGAGGCACUGCAGGAGGAACCAUCCCAACCCUCACCCGGCUUCUGGUAGUUGCCAACAAUUGCAGGCAAAAGAAGAUGAAGGAUUAGAAAAAAAUAACGAAGCCCUCCUAAUGUAUUUGGAACUGAACAGUGUCAUGUAAUCAGGGUGGAAGCAGAUGAACAAGCUACACAAGCAACCACUUUACGUAGCAUCAGACUAGGAAACACACUGUCAUCAAACAAAACACAGAGCAAAGCUCAUGUAACUUGCCUGUGAUGACAUUUGUGGUCAUCAUGGAGCUACACUGUCAGCAAGUGCAAGAGGUCAUUGGUGUCUCCAGAGUCUACAGCAAAUAGAAGUGCAUGAAGAAGGAGGGUAAGCUCUAAGGACAUGUCAUGAAUUCCUGAGCCACAAUAAAUCUAAAUGGCAGAAUUACAUGAAAAAUAUGGAGGUCCACCAAUGAAUAACUGCCUGGAAUAGAACUACUUUGGGAGAAAAUGAAAUAAAACUGACAACACCAAGAUUUUCUUGGAAAGUGACUUCUAUUCCAAGCUCGUCUGUGAAGUGAACAUCAUGUCAUCCCACCCUGAGCCUAAAGUGAGCUGACCCUAAAGCCAAUCCAUUAUUUCACCUGCUCUCCGGUGGUGGUGUUGGAUUAUGGUGGGUAAAUGGCAUUGUGGGCCAGUGAGACUGAACCUGAGGAUUUAUAGAGACACUGCCAUUCAACAGAGAAGGGAUAGAACUGAGGACCUUGUACUUGCCAGUUCACCUGGAUACGAUAAAAUGGAUAUGGUGAUGCUCUCUCUGCUCCAGAAGAUUGUAUCACUUUAGAUGUCAUGAGCUGGGCACUGUUUCACCACCAGAUCAUCCUGCUUUUGUGAAUGAAACAAAAUACGCAAGCAGCAACUUAGAGGACCUGAAGUUCAUUUUGACCUAAGGUAGGCAAGAUUUGAGUUCACAUUACUGGCUCCAUGGCACCAGCACCAUAGGAAAGGGGUACAGCAGAGGAAACUCCAGCAAGUGAGACCCUUCCAAACCCCCUUAGCCAGGAACCCACCGCUUCCGAACAAGGCCCCCUCUUAACACAUUCAGGUGCAAACUCAUCAUUGGAUGAAUCCACCAACCAGACCAGUUCAUUUAUGACCUAAUCACCUUCCCAAAGCCUCGAUCUGAGCACAUGGGAAUGUCGGGAUAUUUUAGAUCCAAAUCAUAAAACGUGAUGACCGUGCUUUGCACUUACCAACUCCCUUCCAAAGCCAAGUUUAGAAAUCACUUUUCUAUUUGAGAAGAAUGCAAAAGAAGAGUCUUUCGUCCCGUGAUGCUUCACUUCCUACCCUUGAACUGCAUUUAUCCUAAAGGAUUCCAUACGUAAUAAAUGGAUUUCUAUGAAGGCCAGUUCAAUUAAUUUGUUUUUUAGUCUUUAUUUUGCAGGAUCAAGGAAAUCAAGGCCAACAUACUUAACAUCUAAACUUCUUAGGACAGGAACUCAGCAUUUGCUGGCUUUUAAGAAGAGACACCUCAGGAAGCCCAGGAUUUACAUCUGUGCCAGGAAGAAUCUGGAACUGGCUCUGUGACCGCCCAGUCUCUACCAGUGUUCCAGAUGCAUCUGGAGUCCUAUUAUAGCGGAAGAAGCGACUUUCCCCCAUCUGCUGUCAUAAUCCUGAACUAAAAGCCCAUGCAUUAAUCACUGUUUUGGUUUCUCCUUCUAAUCUUUCCUAAGGUAGUAGAGGUUUUUUGUCCAGGCAGCAAUCUCCCACCAGUCUGCAUACCUGCCGAGAAGUGGUAUUCCCGGGACUGGAACCCGAGUCUGGUAGAAUCCCCAUGUGUGUUGGCUUUGGUCACCACACAAUGUUUAGUUUGAAC